rnacentral:rRNA from 1 species
CGGACGGGUGAGUAACGCGUGGGUAACCUGCCUCACACAGGGGGAUAACAGUUGGAAACGACCGCUAAUACCGCAUAACCCGCUGGUAUCGCAUGAUACUGACGGAAAAGAUUUUAUCGGUGUGAGAUGGACCCGCGUCUGAUUAGCCAGUUGGCAGGGUAACGGCCUACCAAAGCGACGAUCAGUAGCCGGCCUGAGAGGGUGAACGGCCACAUUGGGACUGAGACACGGCCCAAACUCCUACGGAAGGCAGCAG